CCUACGGGCGACUGCAGUGAGGAAUAUUGGUCAAUGGGCGUACGCCUGAACCAGCCAAGCCGCGUGAGGGAAGACUGCUCUAUGGGUUGUAAACCUCUUUUGUCAGGGAGCAAUUGGCGCUACGUGUAGCGGUAUCGAGAGUACCUGAAGAAAAAGCAUCGGCCAUCUCCUGUCCAGCAGCCGCGGUAAUACGGGGGAUGCGGGCGUUAUCCGAAUUUAUGGGGUUAAAGGGGUCCGUAGGCGGAAGACCAGGUCAGCGGUAAAAUCGCGGGGCUCAACCUCGCUCCGCCGUUGAAACUGGCGAUCUUGAGUGGACGAGAGGUAUGCGGAAUGCGUGGUGUAGCGGUGAAAUGCAUAGAUAUCACGCAGAACUCCGAUUGCGAAGGCAGCAUACCGGAGCCCAACUGACGCUGAGGCACGAAAGCGUGGGUAGCGAACAGGAUUAGAUACCCCUGUAGUC
rnacentral:rRNA from 1 species